CCCCGGACCCAGGCCAGGGGGCGCGUCGCUCCCCUGGACCCCCGACUCGCUGACCGGUCAGCGAGACCCCGUUCUUUCUGCUGUAACGGGUCCGAUUCAAGGCAUUCAACAGAUUUUAUAGUGUAAUAGUAUUCUAGAGUUUUGGGUUUGCUGUUUUGGAACUUGUAUUUUCGCCGAAAUUCCUUGUGUUGUGGUGGAUAGCUCAUCCAAGCUCGUUCGUCCCGGAACGCUGGCCGGAAAAAGUCCAAUAUGGACUCGUCUCCUUAUUCUUGCACUUCCAAGUUGAGCCAUAUAGGCUCGAUCUUCGCUUUUCCUAUUUCUCGAGUCAGCCCCAUAUAUCUGAAAGCUGUUACAGGCUCUAGAGACCCAACGACUUGCUGGAAAUUAGUUGACAAAUGUUCAAAAGCCCAAGAAAUGGGCUGUAUACAUGAAGUAUACAACAUUUAUACACUGAUAUACAGGUUCAUGGCAACAAAUGUGUGGCCAGAAGUGCAAAAAUACAGAGAUGAGAUAAACUACAGGUUUUCGGAAGCAGGAGAUACAUGCAAAGAGCUGAUAUACACGUAAAUAUACACUAAUAUACAAUUGAUGUAUACAAAAACAGAAAUUUGGUUAAAGACCAAAAUUUGCAGCGAAAUUGGCCCCAGAGGGGGCCCAAUUUCAUCA